rnacentral:rRNA from 1 species
UGAAGUGAUUUACUCAUGGAGCUGAAGUCAGUCGAAGAUACCAGCUGGCUGCAACUGUUUAUUAAAAACACAGCACUGUGCAAACACGAAAGUGGACGUAUACGGUGUGACGCCUGCCCGGUGCCGGAAGGUUAAUUGAUGGGGUCAGCGCAAGCGAAGCUCCUGAUCGAAGCCCCGGUAAACGGCGGCCGUAACUAUAACGGUCCUAAGGUAGCGAAAUUCCUUGUCGGGUAAGUUCCGACCUGCACGAAUGGCGUAAUGAUGGCCAGGCUGUCUCCACCCGAGACUCAGUGAAAUUGAACUCGCUGUGAAGAUGCAGUGUACCCGCGGCAAGACGGAAAGACCCCGUGAACCUUUACUAUAGCUUGACACUGAACAUUGAGCCUUGAUGUGUAGGAUAGGUGGGAGGCUUUGAAGUGUGGACGCCAGUCUGCAUGGAGCCGGCCUUGAAAUACCACCCUUUAAUGUUUGAUGUUCUAACGUGGACCCGUGAUCCGGGUUGCGGACAGUGUCUGGUGGGUAGUUUGACUGGGGCGGUCUCCUCCUAAAGAGUAACGGAGGAGCACGAAGGUUGGCUAAUCCUGGUCGGACAUCAGGAGGUUAGUGCAAUGGCAUAAGCCAGCUUGACUGCGAGCGUGACGGCGCGAGCAGGUGCGAAAGCAGGUCAUAGUGAUCCGGUGGUUCUGAAUGGAAGGGCCAUCGCUCAACGGAUAAAAGGUACUCCGGGGAUAACAGGCUGAUACCGCCCAAGAGUUCAUAUCGACGGCGGUGUUUGGCACCUCGAUGUCGGCUCAUCACAUCCUGGGGCUGAAGUAGGUCCCAAGGGUAUGGCUGUUCGCCAUUUAAAGUGGUACGCGAGCUGGGUUUAGAACGUCGUGAGACAGUUCGGUCCCUAUCUGCCGUGGGCGCUGGAGAACUGAGGGGGGCUGCUCCUAGUACGAGAGGACCGGAGUGGACGCAUCACUGGUGUUCGGGUUGUCAUGCCAAUGGCACUGCCCGGUAGCUAAAUGCGGAAGAGAUAAGUGCUGAAAGCAUCUAAGCACGAAACUUGCCCCGAGAUGAGUUCUCCCUGAGACUUUAGGUCUCCUGAAGGAACGUUGAAGACGACGACGUUGAUAGGCCGGGUGUGUAAGCGCAGCGAUGCGUUGAGCUAACCGGUACUAAUGAACCGUGAGGCUUAACCUU